rnacentral:rRNA from 1 species
CCUACGGGAGGCUGCAGUGGGGAAUAUUGCACAAUGGUGGAAACCCUGAUGCAGCGACGCCGCGUGAGUGAAGAAGUAUUUCGGUAUGUAAAGCUCUAUUAGCAGGGAAGAAAAUGCCGGUACCCGACUAAGAAGCCCCGGCUAACUACGUGCCAGCAGCCGCGGUAAUACGUAGGGGGCAAGCGUUAUCCGGAUUUACUGGGUGUAAAGGGGGCGUAGACGGCAGAGCAAGUCUGAAGUGAAAGCCCGGGGCCCAACUGCGGGACUGCUGUGGAAACUGCCCGGCUAGAGUGAUGGAGAGGUAAGCGGAAUGCGCAGUGUAGCGGUGAAAUGCGUAGAUAUUAGGAAGAACACCAGUGGCGAAGGCGGCAUACCGGAUAGUAACUGACGUUGAGGCACGAAAGCGUGGGGAGCAAACAGGAUUAGAUACCCCGGUAGUC